rnacentral:lncRNA from 1 species
AAGAUAACAUUAAUGUGCAUGAAAUUUAUUUCAUAGCCACUUCGUUUACUCCAUGCUCAUAUGCAACAUCUUCCCAAUCUAUUGGUCUCUCCGACAUCACCACACUUGAGAUCUCCAACCCCCUCUUCCUUUCUAUUUAUAAAAACUUUAAAAGGGUGGUUGUCGAUGCAUAUGUCUAUAAUAAAUAUUGCAGAUCUCGUUGAGUUGAUCUAGAUAUAGGUUGGCGUCGGAGGGGAAACCACUUCGCCAACAUAAACUGAUGGUUUCCCAAGGACAAGCUUAGUGUCUUAAAAUAAGCAUUGAUCAGAUCGUAACAUGAGCUUUUAAUUAUUUGCAACAUUACCUUGUGUAUUGAGCAUAUAAGGGUAAUUGUAAAAAAAUAUUCCUUCGGGUAUUCUUGUCACUAACCUUUCUAAGAUUGGAGCA